rnacentral:lncRNA from 1 species
CCCACGGCCCCAAGCAGCAUCUGGCACUGUCCGCCCGCCCCGACUGCCGGUCCAGUCUCCAUUACGCCUGGGACACAAGUUCCGGCAGCGUGAACGACCCCAUGGUGGACUCGGGCAAAGCCAGCGAUAUCUCGGUGUCGAGCUGGCCCAUGGAGCCCGCCCCAUGGACGCCCUUCCCGCUCCUCCACCAGCUGUCCCGGCAGCCCCCGCACAAAGCCCGACGGCCCCACUCGUUCUGCGAGGGGAUGGAGCUGGGCAGCCUGGAGAGGAGCUGGACGGCCUGAGUCCCA